rnacentral:rRNA from 1 species
AUUGAACGCUGGCGGCAGGCUUAACACAUGCAAGUCGAGCGAGCGGCGGACGGGUGAGUAAUGUCUGGGAAACUGCUUGAGGGAGGGGGAUAACUACUGGAACCGGUAGCUAAUACCGAAUACCAUGAGAUGUGCCCAGAUGGGAUUAGCGAGUAGGUGGGGUAAUGGCUCACCUAGGCGACGAUCCCUAGCUGGUCUGGGAGGAUGACCCGCCACACUGGAGCUGCGCCACGGUCCAGGCGCCUGCGGGAUGCAGCAGUGGUGAAUAUUGCACAAUGGGCGCAAGCCUUAUGCAGCCAUGCCGCGUGUGUGAAGAAGGCCUUCGGUGUGUAAAGCACUUUCAGCGAUUAGGCGUUACUCGCAGAAGAAGCACCGGCUAACUCCGUGCCAGCAGCCGCGGUAAUAC